AAUGCCCCGUGGGCUAUGGACACAAGUCACGAAGACAACUAGCAAUUACUCGUUGCCAAACCGAAGAAGAUCAAGAUUGUCGUCAGAGUAGCUAGCAGAUACAGCAGCUUGAGUCUCAUAGCCAAACCCAAGCAGAUCAAGCCUUAAGAGUAGCUAGCUCACACGGCAGCUUGAGUCUCAUAGCCAAACCCAAGCAGAUCAAGCCUGUCAGGAGAGCUGGAUUUCUCUAAUAAUUCGUGUGUUCUUCGUUGAAUUCUUGUGGCCAUGAGAUCGAAUAGUAAUACUUCUUCCGAGCACCGCAACAUAUCACUCCUCCGCGUUUUCGGCCAAGGCAAAAUGGUCCUGAAAAAGGGCAUCACUGGAUAGCGCCCCCUAAUAUUUCAAGCGUGAUAUUUCCCUUUAAAAUUGUUGCAUCACACCAUCUUUAUAAUUUCUACCACCAUCUUAUAAGCCGUGUCGGCACUUGGCACUCGGAUAAUAAGUUUUUCGCUUCAAUACUCAUGCGCCAUCCAUCCAAGGUCCUACCCAUAAAAAAAUCCAUCAGCUCGCUCCUUUAUUUGUUGAUGAAUCAACAAAUUAUAGGAAUAGAGAAAGGAAAAGGAAACAUGUCAAUCGGCGGAUAUGGUCAGCCAGUCUAUGCGGUGAAAAACCAGAUCAUGCUUUCUCUCUGCAUAAUUGCUGGCUGCCUUGAAAGCGUGAUCAUGUCUCCAGGGAAGGAAGCUAUAAGCCAAAUCCUUCUGUCUUUCAGCCUGGCUAUAGCUUAUGCUCUCGCGAUGGCGUCCAUAUUUGCGCCCAGCACGACGACGAGGGUGCUAGCUGCCAGGCUGAGCCUUGUCUCAGCUACGAUUUCUGUGGCUCUCGUGAUGACGAGAGAGCUGGCCUGCAAAGUUCAAACAUGUCGCUGUGCAAACGGGGCCUAGUCCCUCAGAUGGUUUGGCUAAAGGUGUCUUUGUGUCAGAUUGGCGAUAUAUGUAAGAAGAGAUCUGGUUCUGUAUCUUAAACUAUGCAAGAGUGUGAGUGUGGUAUGUUAUCAUUGUUGUGUUGUGAGAUGUGGUCAGGUUGACUAUAUGUAUAGUAGUUUGGGUGAUAUGAUUUUAUUACUGUAGUAAUAAUAUGGUGCAGAAAAUUUGUGUCA